rnacentral:rRNA from 1 species
UGGGGAAUAUUGGACAAUGGACGCAAGUCUGAUCCAGCGAUGCCGCGUGAGUGAAGAAGGUCUUCGGAUUGUAAAGCUCUUUUACUUGGGAAGAAAAAUGGUCGACUAAUAAUCGAACACAAUGACGGUACCAAGAGAAUAAGCGCCGGCUAACUAUGUGCCAGCAGCCGCGGUAAUACAUAGGGCGCGAGCGUUAAUCGGAAUUAUUGGGCGUAAAGAAUUUGUAGGCUGUCGUGUAAGUUGAAUGUGAAAUCCCUGGGCUUAACCUAGGAAUUGCGUUCAGGACUACACGGCUAGAGUAUGUGAGAGGUAAGUGGAAUUCCUAGUGUAGCAGUGAAAUGCGUAGAUAUUAGGAGGAACACCAGUGGCGAAGGCGACUUACUGGCACAAUACUGACGCUGAGAAAUGAAAGCGUGGGGAGCAAACGGG